rnacentral:tRNA from 1 species
GCCGGUAUAGCUCAAUCUGGUAGAGCGCUGGUCUCCAAAACCAGAUAUCGGGGUUCAAAUCCCUGUGCCGGUGCCA